GAUGAACGCUGACAGCAUGCUUAACACAUGCAAGUCAACUGUGGCGGACGGGUGAGUAACGCGUAAAGAACUUGCCUAACAGUUAGGGACAACAUUUGGAAACGAAUGCUAAUACCUGAUACUGUGAGGGAGCUUUGCGUCCCAUUAGCUAGUUGGGGAGGUAACGGCUCACCAAGGCGAUGAUGGGUAGCCGGCCUGAGAGGGGGAUCGGCCACAAGGGGACUGAGACACGGCCAUUACGCCUACGGGAGGCAGCAGUGGGGAAUAUUGAACAAUGGACCAAAGUAUGAUCCAGAAAUUCUGUGUGCACGAUGAAGUUUUCGGAAUGUAAAGUGCUUUCAGUUGGGAAGCGGUACCAACAGAAGAAGUGACGGCUAAAUACGUGCCAGCAGCCGCGGUAAUAC
rnacentral:rRNA from 1 species